GAUGAACGCUGGCGGCGUGCCUAAUACAUGCAAGUCGAGCGAACAGACGAGGAGCUUGCUCCUCUGACGUUAGCGGCGGACGGGUGAGUAACACGUGGAUAACCUACCUAUCAGACUGGGAUAACUUCGGGAAACCGGAGCUAAUACCGGAUAAUAUAUUGAACCGCAUGGUUCAAUAGUGAAAGACGGUUUUGCUGUCACUUAUAGAUGGAUCCGCGCCGCAUUAGCUAGUUGGUAAGGUAACGGCUUACCAAGGCAACGAUGCGUAGCCGACCUGAGAGGGGGAUCGGCCACACUGGAACUGAGACACGGUCCAGACUCCUACGGGAGGCAGCAGUAGGGAAUCUUCCGCAAAGGGCGAAAGCCUGACGGAGCAACGCCGCGUGAGUGAUGAAGGUCUUCGGAUCGUAAAACUCUGUUAUUAGGGAAGAACAAAUGUGUAAGUAACUAUGCACGUCUUGACGGUACCUAAUCAGAAAGCCACGGCUAACUACGUG
rnacentral:rRNA from 1 species